rnacentral:rRNA from 1 species
AUUGAACGCUGGCGGCAUGCCUAACACAUGCAAGUCGAGCGAGCGGCGGGCGGGUGAGUAAUGUGUGGGGAUCUGCCCGAUAGAGGGGGAUAACUACUGGAAACGGUGGCUAAUCCCGCAUACUAUCGGCUGAACCCAGAUGGGAUUAGCUAGUAGGUGGGGUAAAGGCUCACCUAGGCGACGAUCUAUAGCUGGUCUGAGAGGAUGAUCAGCCACACUGGGACUGAGACACGGUCCAGACUCCUACGGGAGGCAGCAGUGGGGAAUCUUGCACAAUGGGCGAAAGCCUGAUGGAGCCAUGCCGCGUGUAUGAAGAAGGCCUUAGGGUUGUAAAGCACUGUCAGCGGGGAGGCGUUACCCGAAGAAGAAGCAACGGCUAACUACGUGCCAGCAGCCGCGGUAAUAC